CAAGUAGUCCCUCCGUUCGGAAUUACUUGUCAUCAAAAUGGAUGUGUCUAUAACUAAAAUACAUCUAGAUACAUCCAUUUCAAUGACAAGUAUUUUCGGACGGAGGGAGUACGAG
rfam:Triticum aestivum genome assembly, contig: Triticum_aestivum_CS42_TGACv1_scaffold_224464_3B